rnacentral:rRNA from 1 species
AUUGAACGCUGGCGGCAGGCUUAACACAUGCAAGUCGAGCGGGGGAAGGUAGCUUGCUACCGGACCUAGCGGCGGACGGGUGAGUAAUGCUUAGGAAUCUGCCUAUUAGUGGGGGACAACAUCUCGAAAGGGAUGCUAACACCGCAUACGUCCUACGGGAGAAAGCAGGGGAUCUUCGGACCUUGCGCUAAUAGAUGAGCCUAAGUCGGAUUAGCUAGUUGGUGGGGUAAAGGCCUACCAAGGCGACGAUCUGUAGCGGGUCUGAGAGGAUGAGCCGCAACACUGGGACUGAGACACGGCCCAGACUCCUACGGGAGGCAGCAGUGGGGAAUGUUGGACAAUGGGGGGAACCCUGAUCCAGCCAUGCCGCGUGUGUGAAGAAGGCCUUAUGGUUGUAAAGCACUUUAAGCGAGGAGGAGGCUACUCUAGUUAAUACCUAGGGAUAGUGGACGUUACUCGCAGAAUAAGCACCGGCUAACUCUGUGCCAGCCGCCGCCGUAA